rnacentral:rRNA from 1 species
GAUGAACGCUGGCGGCGUGCUUAACACAUGCAAGUCGAACGGAAAGGCCACAGCUUGCUGUGGUACUCGAGUGGCGAACGGGUGAGUAACACGUGGGUGAUCUGCCCUGUACUUCGGGAUAAGCUUGGGAAACUGGGUCUAAUACCGGAUAGGAAUCACAUGUGGGUGUGUGGUUGGAAAGCUUUUGCGGUAUGGGAUGAGCUCGCGGCCUAUCAGCUUGUUGGUGGGGUAAUGGCCUACCAAGGCGUCGACGGGUAGCCGGCCUGAGAGGGUGUACGGCCACAUUGGGACUGAGAUACGGCCCAGACUCCUACAGGAGGCAGCAGUGGGGAAUAUUGCACAAUGGGCGCAAGCCUGAUGCAGCGACGCCGCGUGGGGGAUGACGGCCUUCGGGUUGUAAACUCCUUUCGUCAGGGACGAAGCGAAAGUGACGGUACCUGGAGAAGAAGCACCGGCUAACUACGUG